GAUGAACGCUGGCGGCGUGCCUAAUACAUGCAAGUCGAGCGAAUGGAUUGAGAGCUUGCUCUUAUGAAGUUAGCGGCGGACGGGUGAGUAACACGUGGGUAACCUGCCCAUAAGACUGGGAUAACUCCGGGAAACCGGGGCUAAUACCGGAUAACAUUUUGAACCGCAUGGUUCGAAAUUGAAAGGCGGCUUCGGCUGUCACUUAUGGAUGGACCCGCGUCGCAUUAGCUAGUUGGUGAGGUAACGGCUCACCAAGGCAACGAUGCGUAGCCGACCUGAGAGGGUGAUCGGCCACACUGGGACUGAGACACGGCCCAGACUCCUACGGGAGGCAGCAGUAGGGAAUCUUCCGCAAUGGACGAAAGUCUGGCGGAGCAACGCCGCGUGAGUGAUGAAGGCUUUCGGGUCGUAAAACUCUGUUGUUAGGGAAGAACAAGUGCCAGUUGAAUAAGCUGGCACCUUGACGGUACCUAACCAGAAAGCCACGGCUAACUACGUGCCAGCCGCCGCAGUAA
rnacentral:rRNA from 1 species